rnacentral:rRNA from 1 species
UACGUAGGGGGCAAGCGUUGUCCGGAAUCAUUGGGCGUAAAGCGCGUGUAGGCGGUUCGGUAAGUCUGCUGUGAAAGUCCAGGGCUCAACCCUGGGAUGCCGGUGGAUACUGUCGGGCUAGAGUACGGAAGAGGCGAGUGGAAUUCCCGGUGUAGCGGUGAAAUGCGCAGAUAUCAGGAGGAACACCAACGGCGAAGGCAGCUCGCUGGGACGGUACUGACGCUGAGGCGCGAAAGCGUGGGGAGCGAACAGG